AGGAAGCGAGAAGUCGACGCGCCGACCCCCCGCAAGGGGGGCGAGGCGUCCGGCCCUCCGCGAGCACCCGCGGGGGUUCGGGUUCCGGACCCGGUCCGUUCCCGUUCCCACCGAGGGGCUGUCCGCGAUCAUGGAGGUGUCCUCGGACGGCGUCGAAUUCGUACAAAGUUCUCCGGUCCGCGACGCUACGGCUUGGAUGGUCCACCCGACCCGUCUUGAAACACGGACCAAGGAGUCUAACAUGCGCGCGAGUCGUUGGGUCGGACACGCUCCGCUAAACCCAUAGGCGCAAUGAAAGUGAAGGCCGCCGUCGGGGCGGCCGAGGGAGGACGGGUCCGAUUCGGGCGCUCCGGCGCCCGACGGUCCCCGCACCCCCGGGGCGUCUGAUCCCUCAUCGCGAGGGGAGGCGCACCCAGAGCGCACACGUUGGGACCCGAAAGAUGGUGAACUAUGCCUGGCCAGGACGAAGUCAGGGGAAACCCUGAUGGAGGUCCGUAGCGAUUCUGACGUGCAAAUCGAUCGUCGGAGCUGGGUAUAGGGGCGAAAGACUAAUCGAACCAUCUAGUAGCUGGUUCCCUCCGAAGUUUCCCUCAGGAUAGCUUGCGCUCGGAGGAGAGUCUCAUCCGGUAAAGCGAAUGAUUAGAGGCCUUGGGGCCGAAACGGCUUCAACCUAUUCUCAAACUUUAAAUGGGUGAGAACUCCGGCUUGCUCGAUGGAUCGAAGCCGGAGACGGGGUCCGUCCCUCGGGGCGGGCCCCCGGGAUCGGAGUGCAUAGUGGGCCACUUUUGGUAAGCAGAACUGGCGCUGUGGGAUGAACCAAACGACGGGUUAAGGCGCCCGAAUCGACGCUCAUGGGAAACCAUGAAAGGUGUUGGUUGCUUAAGACAGCAGGACGGUGGCCAUGGAAGUCGGAAUCCGCUAAGGAGUGUGUAAUAACUCACCUGCCGAAGCAACUAGCCCUGAAAAUGGAUGGCGCUGAAGCGUCGUGCCUAUACCCGGCCGUCGCGGCAGGGCGGACCCGGCCUCGCGUCGGGUGCCGCUUGAUGCGGCGACGAGUAGGAGGGUCGCGGCGGCGGGCGCAGAAGGGUCUGGGCUCGAGCCUGCCUGGAGCCGCCGCCGGUGCAGAUCUUGGUGGUAGUAGCAAAUACUCCAGCGAGGCCCUGGAGGACUGAUGUGGAGAAGGGUUUCGUGUGAACAGCCGUUGCACACGAGUCAGUCGAUCCUAAGCCCUAGGAGAAAUCCGACGCCAACGGCGACGGGAAUUAUUAAUGAAAGAAAGAAACCCGUUGAUCGGGCGAAAGGGAAUCCGGUUCCUAUUCCGGAACCCGGCAGCGGAACCGCUGUUUGUCGGGCCCUCACAAGGGGUUCGUCAGGGUAACCUAAAAGGGCCCGGAGACGCCGUCGGGAGCCCCGGAAAGAGUUUUCUUUUCUGCAUGAGCGUUCGAGUUCCCUG
rnacentral:rRNA from 1 species